rnacentral:rRNA from 1 species
GACGAACGCUGGCGGCGUGCCUAACACAUGCAAGUCGAGCGGGGAUUUAAGUGGAAGUUCUUCGGAAUGGAGAUUUAAAUUCUAGCGGCGGACGGGUGAGUAACGCGUGAACAAUCUGUCCCGGACAGGGGGAUAACACUUGGAAACGGGUGCUAAUACCGCAUAAGACCACGGCCUCGCAUGGGGCUGAGGUAAAAGGAGCAAUCCGGUUCGGGGUGAGUUCGCGUCCGAUUAGCUAGUUGGUGAGGUAACGGCCCACCAAGGCGACGAUCGGUAGCCGGCCUGAGAGGGUGAACGGCCACAUUGGAACUGAGAGACGGUCCAAACGCCUACGGGAGGCAGCAGUGGGGAAUAUUGGGCAAUGGGCGAAAGCCUGACCCAGCAACGCCGCGUGAGGGAAGAAGGUUUUCGGAUUGUAAACCUCUGUCCUAUGGGACGAAGGAAGUGACGGUACCAUAGGAGGAAGCCCCGGCUAACUACGUG